rnacentral:rRNA from 1 species
CCUACGGGAGGCAGCAGUGAGGAAUAUUGGUCAAUGGUCGGGAGACUGAACCAGCCAAGCCGCGUGAGGGAUGAAGGUACAGAGUAUCGUAAACCUCUUUUGUCAGGGAACAAAGGCGGGGACUAGUCCCCGGCUGAGGGUACCUGAAGAAAAAGCAUCGGCUAACUCCGUGCCAGCAGCCGCGGUAAUACGGAGGAUGCGAGCGUUCUCCGGCUUUAUUGGGUUUAAAGGGUGCGCAGGCGGCCUGUUAAUUCAGCGUUAAA